rnacentral:rRNA from 1 species
AGGACGAACGCUGGCGGCGUGCUUAACACAUGCAAGUCGAGCGGAAAGGCCCUUCGGGGUACUCGAGCGGCGAACGGGUGAGUAACACGUGAGCAACCUGCCCUUAGCUCCGGGAUAGCUCCGGGAAACCGAAUUAAUACCGGAUACGACCACGGCCGACAUCUGCUGUGGUGGAAAGGAUUCCGGCUAAGGAUGGGCUCGCGGCCUAUCAGCUAGUUGGUGGAGUAACGGCCCACCAAGGCGACGACGGGUA